rnacentral:tRNA from 1 species
GCUGGCGUACCCAAGUGGCCAACGGGGCUUGACUGUAAAUCAAGUGGCAAUUGCCUACGAAGGUUCGAACCCUUCCGCCAGCA